UAGGGAAUCUACGGUAAUGGACGAAAGUCUGACCGAGCAACGCAGCGCGAGUGAAGAAGGUUUUCGGAUCGUAAAACUCUGUUGUUAGAGAAGAACAAGGACGUUAGUAACUGAACGUCCCCUGACGGUAUCUAACCAGAAAGCCACGGCUAACUACGUGCCAGCAGCCGCGGUAAUACGUAGGUGGCAAGCGUUGUCCGGAUUUAUUGGGCGUAAAGCGAGCGCAGGCGGUUUCUUAAGUCUGAUGUGAAAGCCCCCGGCUCAACCGGGGAGGGUCAUUGGAAACUGGGAGACUUGAGUGCAGAAGAGUAGAGUGGAAUUCCAUGUGUAGCGGUGAAAUGCGUAGAUAUAUGGAGGAACACCAGUGGCGAAGGCGGCUCUCUGGUCUGUAACUGCCGCUGAGGCUCGGAAGCGUGGGGAGCAAACAGG
rnacentral:rRNA from 1 species